UACGGAGGAGGCAAGCGUUAUCCGGAAUUAUUGGGCGUAAAGCGUCCGCAGGUGGCACCUCAAGUCUGCUGUCAAAGACCGGGGCUUAACCCCAGAAAGGCAGUGGAAACUGAAGUGCUAGAGUGCAGUAGGGGUAGAGGGAAUUCCCGGUGUAGCGGUGAAAUGCGUAGAGAUCGGGAAGAACAUCGGUGGCGAAAGCGCUCUGCUGGACUGCAACUGACACUCAGGGACGAAAGCGUGGGGAGCGAACAGG
rnacentral:rRNA from 1 species